UUGCUACCGGACCUAGCGGCGGACGGGUGAGUAAUGCUUAGGAAUCUGCCUAUUAGUGGGGGACAACAUCUCGAAAGGGAUGCUAAUACCGCAUACGUCCUACGGGAGAAAGCAGGGGAUCUUCGGACCUUGCGCUAAUAGAUGAGCCUAAGUCGGAUUAGCUAGUUGGUGGGGUAAAGGCCUACCAAGGCGACGAUCUGUAGCGGGUCUGAGAGGAUGAUCCGCCACACUGGGACUGAGACACGGCCCAGACUCCUACGGGAGGCAGCAGUGGGGAAUAUUGGACAAUGGGGGGAACCCUGAUCCAGCCAUGCCGCGUGUGUGAAGAAGGCCUUAUGGUUGUAAAGCACUUUAAGCGAGGAGGAGGCUACUUUAGUUAAUACCUAGAGAUAGUGGACGUUACUCGCAGAAUAAGCACCGGCUAACUCUGUGCCAGCAGCCGCGGUAAUACAGAGGGUGCGAGCGUUAAUCGGAUUUACUGGGCGUAAAGCGUGCGUAGGCGGCUUAUUAAGUCGGAUGUGAAAUCCCCGAGCUUAACUUGGGAAUUGCAUUCGAUACUGGUGAGCUAGAGUAUGGGAGAGGAUGGUAGAAUUCCAGGUGUAGCGGUGAAAUGCGUAGAGAUCUGGAGGAAUACCGAUGGCGAAGGCAGCCAUCUGGCCUAAUACUGACGCUGAGGUACGAAAGCAUGGGGAGCAAACAGGAUUAGAUACCCUGGUAGUCCAUGCCGUAAACGAUGUCUACUAGCCGUUGGGGCCUUUGAGGCUUUAGUGGCGCAGCUAACGCGAUAAGUAGACCGCCUGGGGAGUACGGUCGCAAGACUA
rnacentral:rRNA from 1 species